AAAAUGAUACAAAUUACAUUAUAGGCCCACCACACUCACACCAAAACCUAGGUUAGACCCCCACCCAUAUAAAAAAAAAAAACAGCAACAAAAAGCUUUUUCGGAUCCGUACAUCCCAUAAUCCAAGUGGACUUGAACACCGCAAAACAGCCAAAUCUACCGCAUAUCCGGGAACCCAAGUGGACACGAACGCGAUCAAAGCUAAAACUCCGCUAACAAGCGCCAACUAGAAAAGAUAAAAACAGCACCAUUUUCGAUCCGGGUUAAAGGAACACCCCCCUAGUUAUCCUAUCUGCCACUACCCCUUAAUAAAGAAACAAGGUUCAUGCCCUCUAACACCACAAAAAGACCUAAAAACCACGGCCACUACUUUUCCCUGCACAUCGCACCUUACUGCAUAUAAGCAACGUGACUCAACAAAAAUCGGAGGAAAAAUAACUAAACCACAUUCAAAGACCUAUCACCAGACCUAUGGGUUACCCAGAACCCAACUAAAAAUUCUAUAGGAACCCACAGAUGUCCACUCUACCCUCUACCUUUCCUGGACCCACAGAACCUUACCUUCGGGUAUUUCCAACCCCAAACCCCUACCAGAGCAGACCGCUCCCAACGCUAACACACAAGUCAAUGGUGACACGUAGGUCAAAUACACACUUUUCAUAGGAGGAUCUAUCUUACUUCUACACAUCACAGGAACUCCACGUAUGGCUCCUCUUGACCCCCAGGACUUCUAGUCCUACUUAAAAUUCACCUGGUACCUCUCGGAUACCCACAACCCAAACAGCACCCCAAAAGCAAAGAGUCCACUUCUCCUAUACAAUUCCCCACACCUUAGCCCUGGCCCCUAACCCGAACUGCAACCCCAGUUCCAACCCCUCUGUGUAUGUGUGUGUGUGUACAUGUAUCUGUACCUGACCUCAUGUUGUUAACCCUGUCUGUCCCUUACAAUGUAUUGUGUCCCCUGUUUUGUCACACUCCACUCUUCAUUCAUACCAAAUAACAUUUGAUAAGCUUGUGUCACUACAAGGUUGAACAUUUAUCACAUUGGGUCUCCAUUGUAUUGUUAUUAGAUGUGCUUGACCUCCACUCUAACUGCCCAUCCACUUUACUGCAUCCCUAUUCCACUCUCACCUUUAUCUGACUCCUCCACACCUCAACCUGUUAGCGGUUAUCCUACCUAGUAACAGUACAGACCAAUCGAAAUAUCCUAAGCCGCAUUCCCACACGCGCACACACCGGAGAGUUAGCUCUCCUCACAGCUUGAGGAGACUACCGGGACAGUGAUCAUUUCGCUCCACACAUCCAAUCAGGACUACAUUCAAGGCAAGUAAAUUGCACAGUACACCCUACUGUACAUGUAGAUAUAUAUACAUACAUUUUUACUACUUUUUGCACCUUUUAUUUCAAUUUUAUUUAUAUAUUCUCCUCCCUGCUACCUGAUGAAGCCAAGUAAGGCAGAAACGCGUCGUGGCUGGGAUGCCCCUAGACCCAUUGUGAGACUGUGAGGAAAGCAGAUUCCACAUGGACUUCGGGGGCAUCUCCUUUUGGCUACUCUUUUAUUUAUACACUUUUCUUUCCUUAAUUGGACUUUUACACAGCUCUCAUAUAUAUGCACACACUAGGAUGUAGUGGAGUGUGACGUUGUAUGCUAUCUGUUGUAUGUUUAUGCUUUUGUAUAUGUAAAAAAUAUGUGUAUAGGCACAUCCCCUUUCAUGUUCAUGUGUGUAUGCAUGUGUGCCCCCCCCACCUCAUUCUUGGUCCCAACCCUGCUGACAGACAGACACUAAUACUUAGCCAUCGGCCCUUUUACCAGUAGGCUCCCCUAGGUAUAUAAAGGUGGCCAUUAUGACCAUAAAAUAGUUCUUUUAUAGUAUUUGAGAGCUACAAUGACUACAGACUCUUAAAAAUGUACUUUAUAAUUAUCUUUAUUGAUCCCUUGGAUCCUGCAACAAUAAUCACUAGGGAACCAAUUUAUAUUUAACAAAAUAUCCCAAUUUCUUUUCUUCUCUUUGGGCUACCAUGACCAUGGAACCUGGACCAAUAGGAAACAACUAAACCUAUAAACAAAAUAAUACAAAUAAAAAAUUAAUACAUAUGUACAUAAAUAUAUAUAUUAUUUUAUUUUCAAAGCCUCUUGAACUCAGGGUUACCAUGACCAUGGACCCUUGACCAAAAGAAACAAUAAAAUAGAACACAAAUAGACCAAAAUAAAAAAAAAAAAAAA
ensembl:lncRNA